rnacentral:misc_RNA from 1 species
AACAUCGCGCACCUGCGGGAACCUGCGGAAGGAUCAUUACAGAGUUGCAAAACUCCCUAAACCAUUGUGAACGUUACCUAAACCGUUGCUUCGGCGGGCGGCCCGGGUCCUUCCCGGCGCCCAUCGGCCCUCGCGGGCGCCCGCCGGAGGUAAACCAAACUAUUGCAUUGUAUGGCCUCUCUGAGUCUUCUGUACUGAAUAAGUCGAAACUUUCAGCAACGGAUCUCAGAUCGGAAGAGC